rnacentral:rRNA from 1 species
GACGAACGCUGGCGGCGUGCUUAACACAUGCAAGUCGAACGGAAAGGCCCUGCUUUUGUGGGGUGCUCGAGUGGCGAACGGGUGAGUAACACGUGAGUACCUGCCCUUGACUUUGGGAUAACUUCAGGAAACUGGUGCUAAUACCGGAUAGGAGCUCCUGCUGCAUGGUGGGGGUUGGAAAGUUUCGGCGGUUGGGGAUGGACUCGCGGCUUAUCAGCUUGUUGGUGGGGUAGUGGCUUACCAAGGCUUUGACGGGUAGCCGGCCUGAGAGGGUGACCGGCCACAUUGGGACUGAGAUACGGCCCAGACUCCUACGGGAGGCAGCAGUGGGGAAUAUUGCACAAUGGGCGGAAGCCUGAUGCAGCAACGCCGCGUGCGGGAUGACGGCCUUCGGGUUGUAAACCGCUUUCGCCUGUGACGAAGCGUGAGUGACGGUAAUGGGUAAAGAAGCACCGGCUAACUACGUG